UACAGAGGGUGCAAGCGUUGCUCGGAAUCAUUGGGCGUAAAGGGCAGGUAGGUGGUCUGAUUUGUCUGGAGGUGAAAGCCUUGGGCUUAACCCAAGAAGUGCCCCGGAAAUGGUCAGACUUUGAGUCUUGGAGAGGGUUGCGGAAUUCCCGGUGUAGCGGUGAAAUGCGCAGAUAUCAGGAGGAACACCGAUGGCGAAGGCAGGUCUCUGGGCAUUAACUGACGCUGAGGAGCGAAAGCAUGGGGAGCGAACAGG
rnacentral:rRNA from 1 species